UAGUUGAAUAAGUUGUGCUUGACUCCCUCA
rnacentral:piRNA from 1 species